UACGUAGGGCGCAAGCGUUAUCCGGAAUUAUUGGGCGUAAAGAGCUCGUAGGCGGUUUGUCGCGUCUGCCGUGAAAGUCCGGGGCUCAACUCCGGAUCUGCGGUGGGUACGGGCAGACUAGAGUGAUGUAGGGGAGACUGGAAUUCCUGGUGUAGCGGUGAAAUGCGCAGAUAUCAGGAGGAACACCGAUGGCGAAGGCAGGUCUCUGGGCAUUAACUGACGCUGAGGCACGAAGGUCAGGGGAGCAAACGGG
rnacentral:rRNA from 1 species